rnacentral:rRNA from 1 species
UACGGAGGGAGCUAGCGUUGUUCGGAAUUAUGCUGGGCGUAAAGCGCGCGUUAGGCGGCUUUGUAAGUUAGAGGUGAAAGCCCCGGAGCUCAACUCCGGAACUGCCUUUAAAAACUGCAUCGCUUGGAAUCCAGGAAGAGGUGAGUGGAAUUCCGAGUGUAGAGGUGAAAUUCGUAGAUAUUAGGGAAGAACACCAGUGGCGAAGGCGGCUCACUGGA